AACAAACAAGUACAGAAACCGAUGAGAGAGAAAAUGAAGUUAUAU
rnacentral:guide_RNA from 1 species